rnacentral:tRNA from 1 species
GGGUGCAUAGCGCAGUGGUAGCGCGCAUGCUUUGCAUGUAUGAGGUCCAGGGUUCAAUCCCCUGUGCAUCCA